rnacentral:miRNA from 1 species
UAUAGGAUUAUAACGGAGCUGA